rnacentral:ribozyme from 13 species
CAAACAAACAGAAAAAAAAACAAAAACAAAAAGAAAAACAUUUAAAGACCAGCAGAAGAGAGAGCCUCAUAAUUGUUUUUGACUUCGUUUCGGAUUUUCUUCCAGAAAUAUUUCUCCCAAUUAUCUACAACCUUGCUGUAUUUCUCAACUGGCACGUUCGUCUGGGA